UUUUUAUUAUUUCACGUGGCGCGUUGUAGUCGCAUAUCCCUAUAAGCAAAAUAAAUCAGCAGGAAACGUUUUUCCCACUUUCAAAAGAAGCUAUCUAAUUCAAAAUACACUAUUUGAAUCCCGAAACAGAAAUUAUGGUUUUCCGUGAGAAAUCUAUUGCAUUCAUAUACUUGUACGCAUUGAGUCUCACUGCAGAUUCUGUUCACGCCCAAAACUCAAGUGCCAUGCAAUAUGAACAGCUUCCGAUAACCACUGGAAAUAAUAUGACUCAGGACUUGGACGCAAAUAACACUACGAUUU